rnacentral:rRNA from 1 species
CCUANGGGUGGCAGCAGUAGGGAAUAUUGCGCAAUGGGCGAAAGCCUGACGCAGCAACGCCGCGUGGGUGAUGAAGCUUCUUGGAGUGUAAAACCCUGUCGGUGGGGAAGAAACGUACGGAGAGUAACUGCUCCGUGCCUGACGGUACCCACAGAGGAAGUCCCGGCUAACUCCGUGCCAGCAGCCGCGGUAAUACGGGGGGGACAAGCGUUGUUCGGAUUCACUGGGCGUAAAGGGCGCGUAGGCGGGCUUUCAAGUCAGAUGUGAAAUCUACCGGCUUAACCAGUAGUCUGCAUCUGAUACUGAUGGUCUUGAGUACGGAAGAGGAGAGCGGAAUUCCAGGUGUAGCGGUGAAAUGCGUAGAUAUCUGGAAGAACACCGGUAGCGAAGGCGGCUCUCUGGUCCGAUACUGACGCUCAAGCGCGAAGGCUAGGGGAGCAAACAGGAUUAGAUACCCGUNUANUC